rnacentral:lncRNA from 1 species
UUUAUUUUUGUGGCAGUUAUUAUGCAAUCUUUUAGAUUUUAUUUCAGACUAAGGUCAUUAGUUCACGCUGUUCGCUUGCGUAAAUAUUACAAAAGAAUAUGCAGUGUUCCGCAUCGUCUGUAACCCUGCAUUCUAUACAAAAGUCAUUAACAGUCAAAUAAUUAUAAAAUAUGUAGAUCCGAAAUACUAUAGGUAUAUAGAUCCGGAAUGUGGGCUUAACAUUUGUGUUUUUCUUGUGGUACCAACCCCAAUUUGGUAGAUAGUACAACUACAAACUUAUCACCGCAAUAAAACCAGGAUUUUAAAAUAUACCUGGAAAUUUGCAAACUGAUCACUGGUAUAUAGUUGAAAGUCGACAGUUAAACUGCAAAACCUCGUAAGUCAGUUUUAUGUAACUUUAGAGCAGAGACGAAAAACAUUUCGGCUUCUUUAUGUUUGAGAGAUGAGAGAUUCAAUUUAUUCGUUUUGUGUGUGUAGGGUUCUUUUUAGGUAACGAUUCCAUUACCAAUUACCAUUAAGUAAAAUUCAGUAAUAUUGUUUUUUUUUUUUUCAAACAGCGACUUACGAGGUUUUGUUACUUAAAAUCCUAAACUAUCAUUAAACUUCAGAAGUUUUGUCUCAUAAAAAUGCAACUUACGAGGUUUUGUAACUUAAAAUCUUAUGAAGUUUUUGUAGAUGUCGCUAUUACCAUUAAAUUUAAAUAUUGACUUACAAGCUUUCGUAGUUUAAAAGAUAUGUAAAAGUAAUAAACCAUCAAAGUAUAAAAGUAAUAAUGGACCAAAAAUCGACUUACGAGGUUUUGCAGUUUAAUCGUCGAAGUGUAAAACAAUGGAAAAAAAACUACUUAAAAGUGAGUGAAAUAGGUCAGAAAUUGUAAAAAAAAAGUGUAAAAAAUUGGGGGAACCCUUUAAAAAAGUGGGUUAGAUAUGUAAAAAAUAGUGUAGAAUUGUAAAAUAGUGGGGAAAAGCUACUUAAAGUCGGUAAAUAUGUAGGAUGUUGUUAAAAAGUGAAAAAAAA